UACGUAGGGUGCAAGCGUUAAUCGGAAUUACUGGGCGUAAAGCGUGCGCAGGCGGUUGUGCAAGACAGAUGUGAAAUCCCCGGGCUUAACCUGGGAACUGCAUUUGUGACUGGCGGGCUAGAGUAUGGCAGAGGGGGGUAGAAUUCCACGUGUAGCAGUGAAAUGCGUAGAGAUGUGGAGGAAUACCGAUGGCGAAGCCAGCCCCCUGGGCUAACACUGACGCUCAUGCACGAAAGCGUGGGGAGCAAACAGG
rnacentral:rRNA from 1 species